rnacentral:rRNA from 1 species
AACGAACGCUGGCGGCAGGCUUAACACAUGCAAGUCGAGCGCCCCGCCAGGGGAGCGGCAGACGGGUGAGUAACGCGUGGGAACGUACCUUUUGGUUCGGAACAACUCCGGGAAGCUGGAGCUAAUACCGGAUAAGCCCUAACGGGGAAAGAUUUAUCGCCGAAAGAUCGGCCCGCGUCUGAUUAGCUAGUUGGUGAGGUAACGGCUCACCAAGGCGACGAUCAGUAGCUGGUCUGAGAGGAUGAUCAGCCACACUGGGACUGAGACACGGCCCAGACUCCUACGGGAGGCAGCAGUGGGGAAUAUUGGACAAUGGGCGCAAGCCUGAUCCAGCCAUGCCGCGUGAGUGAUGAAGGCCUUAGGGUUGUAAAGCUCUUUUGUCCGGGAAGAUAAUGACUGUACCGGAAGAAUAAGCCCCGGCUAACUUCGUG